CCAGCGACACGUAUCAAUUUGCUCAAGGUCAUUGAAAUCUUCACAACAAGAACAAUAGCCGGUCCCAUGGUUCUUGCAACGGUCACAUUAAAUUAAAUUUUUUCUAAAUAAUUUUGUUUUUCUUUAACACAAUAUUCGUAUAAUAAUUUCACAGUUACAACCUUUUUUAAAUAAUGUUGAAUUACAUUGGUGAAACAACAAUGCAGCGGGAGCGACAACAUCUGAACAGCAUUCAAAAAACCAAUGCAAAACUAGAGAAAUGUUUCUCUGGCACACUCACUGACGGAACGGAUUUGCGAUGAUGGGAAUGGACAAAAGCAUGGUAUGGUAAAUCUCAAUCACACAUCAAAUCAAAUUCAAAUAAGUCACGAUUUUAUUGAUUUUGUAUAUACCUCAUGAAGAAUUUUGAAUUCGAAACAGGUCGUACAUAACAAGUAAAUCAAUACUCCAGGCUAAGCAUUUAUUUAUUUAUU